rnacentral:rRNA from 1 species
ACUAAGCGUACACGGUGGAUGCCCUGGCAGUCAGAGGCGAUGAAGGACGUGCUAAUCUGCGAUAAGCGCCGGUAAGGUGAUAUGAACCGUUAUAACCGGCGAUUUCCGAAUGGGGAAACCCAGUGUGAUUCGUCACACUAUCAUUAACUGAAUCCAUAGGUUAAUGAGGCGAACCGGGGGAACUGAAACAUCUAAGUACCCCGAGGAAAAGAAAUCAACCGAGAUUCCCCCAGUAGCGGCGAGCGAACGGGGAGGAGCCCAGAGCCUGAAUCAGCAUGUGUGUUAGUGGAAGCGUCUGGAAAGGCGCGCGAUACAGGGUGACAGCCCCGUACACAAAAGCGCAUGUGUUGUGAGCUCGAUGAGUAGGGCGGGACACGUGGUAUCCUGUCUGAAUAUGGGGGGACCAUCCUCCAAGGCUAAAUACUCCUGACUGACCGAUAGUGAACCAGUACCGUGAGGGAAAGGCGAAAAGAACCCCGGCGAGGGGAGUGAAAAAGAACCUGAAACCGUGUACGUACAAGCAGUGGGAGCNUGAGGGAAAGGCGAAAAGAACCCCGGCGAGGGGAGUGAAAAAGAACCUGAAACCGUGUACGUACAAGCAGUGGGAGCCCCACCACUAAGCCAGUGGUGAACUCCACAUACGCAUCCUUUGCUGAGGAUACGGUUAACGGAGCGCAAGCGACGUUCAACCGCAAAAGAAGCAGAGGGGGCUUAGUGGUGGGGUGACUGCGUACCUUUUGUAUAAUGGGUCAGCGACUUAUAUUCUGUAGCAAGGUUAACCGUAUAGGGGAGCCGGAGGGAAACCGAGUCUUAAUUGGGCGUUAAGUUGCAGGGUAUAGACCCGAAACCCGGUGAUCUAGCCAUGGGCAGGUUNAGGGAAACCGAGUCUUAACCGGGCGUUAAGUUGCAGGGUAUAGACCCGAAACCCGGUGAUCUAGCCAUGGGCAGGUUGAAGGUUGGGUAACACUAACUGGAGGACCGAACCGACUAAUGUUGAAAAAUUAGCGGAUGACCUGUGGCUGGGGGUGAAAGGCCAAUCAAACCGGGAGAUAGCUGGUUCUCCCCGAAAGCUAUUUAGGUAGCGCCUCGUGAAUUCAUCUCCGGGGGUAGAGCACUGUUUCGGCUAGGGGGCCAUCCCGGCUUACCAACCCGAUGCAAACUGCGAAUACCGGAGAAUGUUAUCACGGGAGACACACGGCGGGUGCUAACGUCCGUCGUGAAGAGGGAAACAACCCAGACCGCCAGCUAAGGUCCCAAAGUCAUGGUUAAGUGGGAAACGAUGUGGGAAGGCCCAGACAGCCAGGAUGUUGGCUUAGAAGCAGCCAUCAUUUAAAGAAAGCGUAAUAGCUCACUGGUCGAGUCGGCCUGCGCGGAAGAUGUAACGGGGCUAAACCAUGCACCGAAGCUGCGGCAGCGAGUAAUAGCUCACUGGUCGAGUCGGCCUGCGCGGAAGAUGUAACGGGGCUAAACCAUGCACCGAAGCUGCGGCAGCGAACGUAUCACUUAAAGCGAUUCAGCGGGUUACGAUUGACGGAGCGAAGCGACGUCAAAGCGUAUACAAAGUCGAGUCGGUUUAAGGAUACGUUCGUUGGGUAGGGGAGCGUUCUGUAAGCCUGUGAAGGUGGCCUGUGAGGGUUGCUGGAGGUAUCAGAAGUGCGAAUGCUGUUGGGUAGGGGAGCGUUCUGUAAGCCUGUGAAGGUGGCCUGUGAGGGUUGCUGGAGGUAUCAGAAGUGCGAAUGCUGACAUAAGUAACGAUAAAGCGGGUGAAAAGCCCGCUCGCCGGAAGACCAAGGGUUCCUGUCCAACGUUAAUCGGGGCAGGGUGAGUCGACCCCUAAGGCGAGGCCGAAAGGCGUAGUCGAUGGGAAACGGGUUAAUAUUCCCGUACUUGGUGUUACUGCGAAGGGGGGACGGAGAAGGCUAUGUUGGCCGGGCGACGGUUGUCCCGGUUUAAGCGUGUAGGUGUGUGUUCCAGGUAAAUCCGGUUCACUUUAACACUGAGGCGUGAUGACGAGGCACUACGGUGCUGAAGCAACAAAUGCCCUGCUUCCAGGAAAAGCCUCUAAGCAUCAGGUAACAUCAAAUCGUACCCCAAACCGACACAGGUGGUCAGGUAGAGAAUACCAAGGCGCUUGAGAGAACUCGGGUGAAGGAACUAGGCAAAAUGGUGCCGUAACUUCGGGAGAAGGCACGCUGACAUGUAGGUGAAGUGAUUUACUCAUGGAGCUGAAGUCAGUCGAAGAUACCAGCUGGCUGCAACUGUUUAUUAAAAACACAGCACUGUGCAAACACGAAAGUGGACGUAUACGGUGUGACGCCUGCCCGGUGCCGGAAGGUUAAUUGAUGGGGUCAGCGCAAGCGAAGCUCCUGAUCGAAGCCCCGGUAAACGGCGGCCGUAACUAUAACGGUCCUAAGGUAGCGAAAUUCCUUGUCGGGUAAGUUCCGACCUGCACGAAUGGCGUAAUGAUGGCCAGGCUGUCUCCACCCGAGACUCAGUGAAAUUGAACUCGCUGUGAAGAUGCAGUGUACCCGCGGCAAGACGGAAAGACCCCGUGAACCUUUACUAUAGCUUGACACUGAACAUUGAGCCUUGAUGUGUAGGAUAGGUGGGAGGCUUUGAAGCGUGGACGCCAGUCUGCGUGGAGCCGGCCUUGAAAUACCACCCUUUAAUGUUUGAUGUUCUAACGUGGACCCGUGAUCCGGGUUGCGGACAGUGUCUGGUGGGUAGUUUGACUGGGGCGGUCUCCUCCUAAAGAGUAACGGAGGAGCACGAAGGUUGGCUAAUCCUGGUCGGACAUCAGGAGGUUAGUGCAAUGGCAUAAGCCAGCUUGACUGCGAGCGUGACGGCGCGAGCAGGUGCGAAAGCAGGUCAUAGUGAUCCGGUGGUUCUGAAUGGAAGGGCCAUCGCUCAACGGAUAAAAGGUACUCCGGGGAUAACAGGCUGAUACCGCCCAAGAGUUCAUAUCGACGGCGGUGUUUGGCACCUCGAUGUCGGCUCAUCACAUCCUGGGGCUGAAGUAGGUCCCAAGGGUAUGGCUGUUCGCCAUUUAAAGUGGUACGCGAGCUGGGUUUAGAACGUCGUGAGACAGUUCGGUCCCUAUCUGCCGUGGGCGCUGGAGAACUGAGGGGGGCUGCUCCUAGUACGAGAGGACCGGAGUGGACGCAUCACUGGUGUUCGGGUUGUCAUGCCAAUGGCACUGCCCGGUAGCUAAAUGCGGAAGAGAUAAGUGCUGAAAGCAUCUAAGCACGAAACUUGCCCCGAGAUGAGUUCUCCCUGAGACUUAAAGUCUCCUGAAGGAACGUUGAAGACGACGACGUUGAUAGGCCGGGUGUGUAAGCGCAGCGAUGCGUUGAGCUAACCGGUACUAAUGAACCGUGAGGCUUAACC